CCUUUACUGUUUUCCAGAAACUUAUCGAAGACCACAAGGCUACAUAUUUUCCAGGGAAGAAGAGAGAUCUCAUAGAUGCAUAUUUGUAUGAAAUUGCAAAACCAGAAGAUGCCCAAGAGGAUAACACAACAUUUACGGAGGAUCAGCUUCUCAUGGUGUUAUACGACAUGUUAGUUGCUGGCUUGGAAGAAACAAGCAGCGCUCUUCAAUUUGCUUUUCUUAUGAUGUUACGGCAUCCCGAUGUCCAAGAACGAGUGCACAAUGAGAUAAAAGAAGCAGUUGGUACUGACAGACCUCCAACACUCGAAGACAAAGACAGGUUGGUUUACACCAGAGCUGCCCUAAUGGAGUCACAGAGAAUGUCUUACGUGUUACCAAUACGUGGAUUUCGGCGGGUUCUCGAAGACACCACGCUACACGGCUAUAGACUCCCAGUGCAGAAUACAACUGUACUGGUAAACAACUGGUCACUGCAUAUGGACAAAGAACACUGAGGUGAUCCUGAAGUUUAUCGAUCAGAACGUUUCAUUAAUGAAACUGGACUACUUAGAGAGGAUGAUGCAUUCUUACCUUUUGGUCUGGGUCGACAUCGAUGUUUGGGGGAGCAUUUUGCAAAAUGUUGUUUAUUUCAAAUUUUUGCUGGAAUCUUGCAGAAAUUUCAACUUGUUCCUGCUGAUGGUACUGACCUGAAGUCUACUGCUUUUGGGGGAUUUAAUCUUGCACCAAAACCUUAUGACAUCAUUUUCAAAUCUCGAUAACAUUGCAAAACCAUACAAAUAUAAUUGUUUUCUUUAUUGUAGUAACAACUGAAAUCCAAUAGAUGAA